rnacentral:rRNA from 1 species
CUACGGGAGGCAGCAGUGGGGAAUAUUGCACAAUGGGCGCAAGCCUGAUGCAGCGACGCCGCGUGGGGGAUGACGGCCUUCGGGUUGUAAACCUCUUUCAGCACAGACGAAGCGUAAGUGACGGUAUGUGCAGAAGAAGCACCGGCCAACUACGUGCCAGCAGCCGCGGUAAUACGUAGGGUGCGAGCGUUGUCCGGAAUUACUGGGCGUAAAGAGCUCGUAGGUGGUUUGUCGCGUUGUUCGUGAAAACUCACAGCUUAACUGUGGGCGUGCGGGCGAUACGGGCAGACUGGAGUACUGCAGGGGCGACUGGAAUUCCUGGUGUAGCGGUGGAAUGCGCAGAUAUCAGGAGGAACACCGGUGGCGAAGGCGGGUCUCUGGGCAGUAACUGACGCUGAGGAGCGAAAGCGUGGGGAGCAAACAGGAUUAGAAACCCCUGUAGUCC